rnacentral:rRNA from 1 species
UACGUAGGGGGCAAGCGUUGUCCGGAAUCAUUGGGCGUAAAGAGCGUGUAGGCGGCCAGACAGGUCCGUUGUGAAAACUCGAGGCUCAACCUCGAGACGUCGAUGGAAACCGUCUGGCUAGAGUCCGGAAGAGGAGAGUGGAAUUCCUGGUGUAGCGGUGAAAUGCGCAGAUAUCAGGAAGAACACCUAUGGCGAAGGCAGCUCUCUGGGACGGUACUGACGCUGAGACGCGAAAGCGUGGGGAGCGAACAGG